AUUGAACGCUGGCGGCAUGCCUUACACAUGCAAGUMGAACGACUCAGGGGGCAACUCCUGGCGAGUGGCGAACGGGUGAGUAAUACAUCGGAACGUGUCCUGCGUGGGGGAUAACCAGUCGAAAGACUGGCUAAUACCGCAUGAGAUCUAAAGAUGAAAGCGGGGACCCGAGGGUAACUUCGGGCCUCGCGCGAUAGGAGCGGCCGAUGCCGGAUUAGCUGUUGGUGGGGUAAAAGCCUACCAAGGCGACGAUCCGUAGCUGGUUUGAGAGAACGACCACCACACUGGGACUGAGACACGGCCCAGACUCCUACGGGAGGCAGCAGUGGGGAAUUUUGACAAUGGGCGCAAGCCUGAUCCAGCCAUGCCGCGUGUGUGAAGAAGGCCUUCKGGUUGUAAGCACUUUCGGACGGAACGAAAUCGCGCUGGCGAAUAUCCAGCGUGGAUGACGGUACCUAAGAAGAAGCACCGGCUAACUACGUGCCAGCAGCCGCGGUAAUACGUAGGGUGCGAGCUUAAUCGGUAUUUCUGGGCGUAAUGCGUGCGCAGGUGGCGUCGCAAGUCAGGCGUGAUACCCCGGGCUUAACCUGGGAAUGGCGCUUGAAACUACGAUGCUGGGGUGCGGCAGAGGGNGUGGNAUUNCACGUGUAGCGGUGAUAUGCGUAGAGAUGUGGAGGACANCGNUGGCGAAGCAGNCCUCCUGGGUCG
rnacentral:rRNA from 1 species